rnacentral:rRNA from 1 species
GAUGAACGCUGGCGGCGUGCCUAAUACAUGCAAGUCGAGCGAACGGACGAGAAGCUUGCUUUUCUGAUGUUAGCGGCGGACGGGUGAGUAACACGUGGAUAACCUACCUAUAAGACUGGGAUAACUUCGGGAAACCGGAGCUAAUACCGGAUAAUAUUUUGAACCGCAUGGUUCAAAAGUGAAAGACGGUCUUGCUGGCACUUAUAGAUGGAUCCGCGCUGCAUUAGCUAGUUGGUAAGGUAACGGCUUACCAAGGCAACGAUGCAUAGCCGACCUGAGAGGGUGAUCGGCCACACUGGAACUGAGACACGGUCCAGACUCCUACGGGAGGCAGCAGUAGGGAAUCUUCGGCAAUGGGCGAAAGCCUGACGGAGCAACGCCGCGUGAGUGAUGAAGGUCUUCGGAUCGUAAAACUCUGUUAUUAGGGAAGAACAUAUGUGUAAGUAACUGUGCACAUCUUGACGGUACCUAAUCAGAAAGCCACGGCUAACUACGUG